rnacentral:tRNA from 8 species
CGGAGUGUGGCGCAGCCUGGUAGCGCACCUCGUUCGGGACGAGGGGGUCGCAGGUUCGAAUCCUGCCACUCCGACCA